rnacentral:rRNA from 1 species
UACAGAGGUCUCAAGCGUUGUUCGGAAUUACUGGGCGUAAAGGGUUUGUAGGUGGCUCGCUAAGUCAGACGUGAAAUCCCUCAGCUUAACUGGGGAACUGCGUCUGAGACUGGCGAGCUUGAGUGCAGGAGAGGAACGCGGAAUUCCAGGUGUAGCGGUGAAAUGCGUAGAUAUCAGGAGGAACACCUGCGGUGUAGACGGCUUUCUGGACCAUUGCUGACGCUGAGACACGAAAGCGUGGGUAGCAAACAGG